UUUUAGCCCCGACAGUAGCGGUAUCCUUUUUCUUUUUUUAAGAAAAAGAUGUAGCGGAGGGCGGGAAUUGCG
rfam:Flavobacterium cauense R2A-7 FCR2A7T_14, whole genome shotgun sequence.